rnacentral:lncRNA from 1 species
ACUACUUAUGUGUAACCAACUUAAUUGUACACAAACCUUUUAAUAUUUACCUUUCAUUUAUAUAGACAUUUUUAUCACUUAAUUUAUUCUCUCUCUCUUUUUUUAUUUAGAUGUAUUACUAUUUUACUUCAUAAAGACUUUCUUACCCAGUGGAAGUCCUUUCCAGCAUCUGGAUGACCAUCUUAAGCAUCAGCUGCCAUCUUAAAAAGUUUGUGUAUGAGGCUCAGAGCUACUCUCAAAAUCUCCAGGAUGCUCAGUGCUUUUUUCAGCUUCAACUGGAGCCCAAUGUGGUACCUGGACAUCUGAAACAGGGACCCUUCUGGAUGUGUUAA